UGGACGUCUGCUCACACAGCCACACGCUCCUCCAUUCUGGACCAGACCACUAGUGGGCUGGGCUUCACCGAGCUCUUCUCACGUUGGGCCACCUCCGAUGGAUUAUAACGCCAGUCUGCCACCUGGGCUUGGGCUGGUGACAGCUCCACUUCUCUCGCCCUCCCCGCUUCCCAUUCCUCCCACCGUCCGCCGCCGCCGGCGUAGGGUUGCAGGCCCUCCACCGACCACACCCGUUCUCACUGCCUCGGUUCCAAUCGCCCGCAUGGGCCACCCGCCACUGACGCCGCUGCACAAGGGCGAAGUCUGCGGGUGAAAGCUUCGCGGCGGAGCACGAACAUGUCGUGGGAGCCGAAGGGGGAGGUUAACGGGGCGAGGAGUGGCGUUCUGCGGCGCCUGCAGCGAGCAUUAGCUCAUGUUGUGCCUGAAGCAAACAUGGAGGUUGAUGAGGCUGUCGUUCUGGGCAGAGCGGCACCUGUUGGGAAAGUGCGGGAUUCGAUUCGUGUGGUGUCGAAACAAAAUAUUGAUAUUGAGGUGGAUGAGGGCAGCACCGCCGAGCAAGGUCGUACUACAGUGAUGGAGCAAGGUGCUGGCGGAGUGGUAAAUCGAGAGAUCGCCACGACAGCUGGUCGCCUUCAGGUGGAAGAGGAGGUCGGGGAAUGCUUGGUGGGCCGGUACAUUGCCCGGAGCGCUCCAGGGCAUGGAAGCAUUCUUAUUGGGAAGGUUGCAUCCUAUGACAGCACUACUGGGAUCUACCGUGUGGUGUUUGAGGACGGACAUGGCGUGGAUCUCCGACUUCCUAAGCUCCGGGAGUUUCUCAUGCCUGAGAAUGGCACACUAGGCAUGGAGGUCAGCUGCUGGAAGAGGAAGCUGGACUUGCUGGUCCCAUCAGGUAGCGCCUCGGAUGCCAGAGAGCCAGCGAGUGCUAGGCAGAGGGUUGAUGGAUGUGCGGUGUCCACCAUGCCUGAUGCGCCACAGCAGAGUGUGUCUGGCUUGGAUAUGUCCGACGAUAUUGAACCUUCGAGUGAUUCAUCAGAUUUCAGUAAAGAAGAACCAUCUGAGCUAUGCCCUCCAGUGCAGGCUGUGGAGUUGCCACCGUCAUCGGGAGAUAUUAAUGUGCCAGAAGUCCAUAAGUUAUCUCUUUUCUGUUUAUAACUUCCUGCGGUCAUUCAGUGUUCAGCUGUUCGCCUGUUCCUGAGUCCAUUCGGGCUGGAUGAUUUUGUUGCGGCAAUUAAUUGCACCGUGCAGAAUAACUUGUUGGAUGCUGUACAUGUCUUGCUACUGCGGGCACUGAGGCGGCAUCUGGAAUCUAAAUCCACUAAGCUUGCUUCAAAUUGCUUUAAGUAUCUGGAUUGGACACUAAUAGACACAUUGACUUGGCCAACGUUCUUACUAGAAUACCUGUAUGUGAUGGGUUGCAUUAAGAAUCUAGGGGUGCAGAGUUUUGGUAGAAGCCUCCUAGCCACAGAAUACUAUAAGCUUCCUGUUGCCACGAAGCUGAGGGUGCUGCAAAUACUCUGUGAUCAUGUCAUUGAUUCAGAAGAACUCAAAACAGAACUGGAGGGUAGAGAGGGCUACAACGAGAUGGAAUAUGAGACUGAUCCUAGUGUUUUCUUGGGGCAUGGUUCAAGCGCAGUCUCUGCUAGAGCCUCAAAGGCCUCUGCUUAUAGCAGAACAGGUGAUCUGCAAAGCCUGGAAAGAGCUCCAAAUGUGAACAAUCCAAAAGCUGUUUGCCGAAUAUGUGGAAUGGAUGGGACUUUGUUACGCUGUGAUCGCUGCAAAUGGGCAUAUCAUUCAAGGUGUAUUGGUCAAAACAAAUCUUUUCUUCCCCAAGGAGCAUGAUUCUGUCACGAAUGUGUGGUUAACAUGCUCGGACCAACUUCAGCAAGAAUUGAGCGUGGUGCAAGAGGAGCCCAAAUGUUUGGCAUUGAUAUGUGCGGGAGGAUCUUCUUAGGAUCCUGCAACUAUUUGCUGGUGAUUCAAAUGUUUUCAAAUGCAGAGUCUUAUGCAAGAUAUUACAAUGAUCAUGAUGUUGUCAAAGUCCUCCAAAUACUAGCUCUCUCAGAUGCAUAUAUGGAUAUGCAGGCAAAUAAAGGAAUACAUGAGUGGUGGCAACAAGGCAGCAAAGUUGUCAUCCUUUAAACCACAGGCGUACAUGAAUCUAUACCAUCAUGGUAACGUUGCAACCUGUGCUGCUGCCAAUCUAGCUGUUAUUACAGUUGACCAAGGUAAAAUUUCAUCAUCCCAACUGACCACAAACUUAAGGAAGAAAAUGGCUGCGGACAAUGCCCUACAAGUGAAAGUAUUUUCCUCAGCAGCCGCACAAUUUGUUUGGCCAGGUAGUGAAAAGAAGCUUAUGGAAGUCCCAAGAGAUAGAUGUGAUUGGUGCCUUGCCUGUAGAAGUUCAGCAAUUGGAAAUAAAAAAGCAUGUUUUCUUAACAUUGCCGCUGCAAAUGCCGCUAGAAGUUCUGCUCGAGUUCUUAGUGUCAUGCAUGUGAUAAAAAAUUCCGAUAGCCAUUUCCCCAGCAUUGUUGCUUAUCUAGCCAACAUGGAGGAAAGUUUGCGUGGCCUUUUAGUAAAAGUUCACUACAAGACAUGCCGCAGAAACAACGGUGGCAUCAACAACUACGAGAAGCUUCCAACUGUAGAACUGUAAUACCCCUCUUGCUUGAGGUGAGUAAUAAUAUUAAGCUAAUAUUUUCCGUUCGUCCUUUUGUACUUGUCAUUUGUCAAUAUGGUGCAACUAAUUCAUGAUUUAG